AACGAACGCUGGCGGCAUGCCUAACACAUGCAAGUCGAACGAGAACUUCGGGUCUAGUGGCGCACGGGUGCGUACGGCGGGGGAAGUAGCCCGUAGGUACGGAAUAACUCACCGAGAGGGGUCUUAAUACCGGAUAAGGUCAUAGGACCAAAGAUCUAUCGCUUCAGGAUGGGCGCUCGUGGGAUUCGCGGGUUGGUAGGGUAAAAGCCUGUCAAGGGGAUGAUCCAUUGCUGGUAUGAGAGGAUGAUCAGGCACACUGGGACUGAGACACGGCCCAGACUCCUAGGGAAGGCAGCAGUGGGGAAUAUUGGACGAUGGGCGAGAGCCUAAUCCAGCCGUGCCGCGUAAGUGAUGAAGGCGUUAGGAUUGUGAAGCUGUUUUACCCGGGAUGAUAGUGACAGUACCGGGAGAAUAAGCUCCGGCUAACUACGUG
rnacentral:rRNA from 1 species